GACGAACGCUAGCGGCGUGCUUAACACAUGCAAGUCGAACGCUGAAGCUUGGUGCUUGCACUGGGUGGAUGAGUGGCGAACGGGUGAGUAAUACGUGAGUAACCUGCCCUUGACUCUGGGAUAAGCCUGGGAAACUGGGUCUAAUACUGGAUACGACAUGUCACCGCAUGGUGGUGUGUGGAAAGGGUUUUACUGGUUUUGGAUGGGCUCACGGCCUAUCAGCUUGUUGGUGGGGUAAUGGCUCACCAAGGCGACGACGGGUAGCCGGCCUGAGAGGGUGACCGGCCACACUGGGACUGAGACACGGCCCAGACUCCUACGGGAGGCAGCAGUGGGGAAUAUUGCACAAUGGGCGGAAGCCUGAUGCAGCGACGCCGCGUGAGGGAUGACGGCCUUCGGGUUGUAAACCUCUUUCAGCACGGAAGAAGCGAAAGUGACGGUACGUGCAGAAGAAGCGCCGGCUAACUACGUG
rnacentral:rRNA from 1 species